CCCUUAGAUGUUCGGGGCCGCACGCGCGCUACACUGAAGGACUCAGCGUGUCUCUCCCCCUAUCCCGAAAGGGAUGGGCAACCCGUUGAACCUCCUUCGUGCUAGGGAUUGGGGUUUGCAAUUAUCCCCCAUGAACGAGGAAUUCCCAGUAAGCGCGAGUCAUAAGCUCGCGUUGAUUACGUCCCUGCCCUUUGUACACACCGCCCGUCGCUACUACCGAUUGGAUGGUUUAGUGAGAUCCUUGGAUUGGUCCUGGCGUGGCGGGUCACCGCCGUGCCAGUGUGCCGAGAAGACGAUCGAACUUGAUCAUCUAGAGGAAGUAAAAGUCGUAACA
rnacentral:rRNA from 1 species